GACGAACGCUGGCGGCGUGCUUAACACAUGCAAGUCGAACGGAAAGGCCCUGCUUGCAGGGUGCUCGAGUGGCGAACGGGUGAGUAACACGUGGGUGAUCUGCCCCUUAUUUUGGGAUAAGCCUGGGAAACUGGGUCUAUUACUGGAUAGGACAAUGCUGAAGGUGGUGAGGUGGAAAGAUUAGUUUCGGUAAGGGUUGAGCUCGCGGCCUAUCAGCUUGUUGGUGGGGUAAUGGCAUACCAAGGCGUCGACGGGUAGCCGGCCUGAGAGGGUGGACGGCCACAUUGGGACUGCGAUACGGCCCAGACUCCUACGAGAGGCAGCAGUGGGGCAUAUUGCACAAUGGGCGCAAGCCUGAUGCAGCGACGCCGCGUGGGGGAUGACGGCCUUCGGGUUGUAAACUCCUUUCAGCCAUGACGAAGCCCUUGUGGUGACGGUAGUGGUAGAAGAAGCACCGGCUAACUACGUG
rnacentral:rRNA from 1 species